rnacentral:rRNA from 1 species
AUUUUGUAUAUGUAUGAGUUAUGAUGUGAGUUACUCNUUGUAGUAUUGCUCGCACGUACUUAUGCAUUUAUUUGCAAGGUGUUGUCGGCGUGCACUUCUCCCCUAGUAGGACGUCGCGACCCGUUGGGUAUCGGUCUACGACCCGAGUNGGUAGACUUNUAAUGUUUUNAUAAUAUUAAAGACCCUUGGUGUUUUCUGACCGGCUGCCCGGCGGUAUUCGUACGGUAUUUAGCCGCAUUUANUNUUGCGUCCAUGUCCAUCGC